rnacentral:rRNA from 1 species
UACGUAGGGUCCGAGCGUUGUCCGGAAUUAUUGGGCGUAAAGAGCUCGUAGGCGGUUUGUCGCGUCUGCUGUGAAAUCCCGAGGCUCAACCUCGGGCCUGCAGUGGGUACGGGCAGACUGGAGUGCGGUAGGGGAGAAUGGAAUUCCUGGUGUAGCGGUGAAAUGCGCAGAUAUCAGGAGGAACACCGGUGGCGAAGGCGGGUCUCUGGGCAUUACCUGACGCUGAGGAGCGAAAGUGUGGGGAGCGAACAGG